AUUGAACGCUGGCGGCAGGCUUAACACAUGCAAGUCGAGCGGAGAUGAGGUGCUUGCACCUUAUCUUAGCGGCGGACGGGUGAGUAAUGCUUAGGAAUCUGCCUAUUAGUGGGGGACAACAUUCCGAAAGGAAUGCUAAUACCGCAUACGUCCUACGGGAGAAAGCAGGGGAUCUUCGGACCAUGCGCUAAUAGCUGAGCCUAAGUCGGAUUAGCGAGUUGGUGGGGUAAAGGCCUACCAAGGCGACGAUCUGUAGCGGGUCUGAGAGGAUGAUCCGCCACACUGGGACUGAGACACGGCCCAGACUCCUACGGGAGGCAGCAGUGGGGAAUAUUGGACAAUGGGGGGAACCCUGAUCCAGCCAUGCCGCGUGUGUGAAGAAGGCCUUAUGGUUGUAAAGCACUUUAAGCGAGGAGGAGGCUACUGAGACUAAUACUCUUGGAUAGUGGACGUUACUCGCAGAAUAAGCACCGGCUAACUCUGUGCCAGCCGCCGCCGUAA
rnacentral:rRNA from 1 species